ensembl:lncRNA
GCUGAAUAAGAUCUGUGCUCUGUAUAAUGGAUUCAUGGGCUACCUGUGUGUGCUGAUAAACUCCAGAACACACAGGAAACGCAGCGGCGGCAGACCGUCAACUCCAACCCGCUCGCAACGCCGACCGGCCUCCAUCUGUUGCCACUUUUGAAAAGAGCGGCUGAAAACACGUUUGUGUAAUUUGGCAUGUUCUUUCAAAUGGAAAUAAUCCGCCUGUUUUUCCUUCCGAGGGGAGGCUCCCCUCUGUCGUGGCUUUCAAGGCUGCAUUAUCCUGCUGGAAGAGGCCACAGCCAUCAGUGAGCACUGUUUCCAUGAAAGGGUGUACAUGAUUUGCAACAAUGCUUAGGCAGGUGUGCAUCCUGAGGCCGGGUGUCCUCCAGUAAGCAACACACCAGAAAAAGAAGAAAGAAAAUGUGAUUCAUCAGACCAGAAUACCUUAUUUUAUUGCUCUGUGGUCCAGUCCUGAUGCUCGCAUGCACAUUGUUGGUCAUUUUUAGUGGUGAAAGGGGGCAGCAUGGGCACCCUGACUGGUCUGCAGCUAUGCAGCCCCCUACACAACAAACUGUGAUGCACAGUGUAUUCUGACACUUUUCUAAGGGCAACUAAACCUCCUGUGUGGCUUUGGAUUACAAAUGGAAAGAGUCCCAUAAUAUAACCACA